AUGUUCCCGGUGUUCCCUUGCACGCUGCUGGCCCGCCCCCUUCCCCGUGCUGGGCUGGACUCCCGGGGGGUGGGCGGCCUCAUGAACUCCUUCCAGCCACCUCAGGGUCACGCCCAGAGCCCCCUGCAGGUCGCGGCUGAGCUCCAGUCCCGCUUCUUUGCCUCCCAGGGCUGCGCCCAGAGUCCAUUCCAGGUCGUGCCCUAGGCCCCGGCGGCCGAGCCCCUCCAGGUGGAUUUGCUCCCCGUGCUCACCGCUGCCCAGGAGUCCGCCGCGGCCGCCGCCGCCGUCUCUGCCGCGCCCCCGGCUCCGGCCGCCGCCUCCACGGUGGACACAGCGGCCCUGAAGCAGCCUCCGGCGCCCCCUCCGCCACCCCCACCCGUGUCGGUGCCUGCGGCCGAGGCCGCGCCCCCGCCUCCGGAGCCACCAUCGCCGCGGCGGCGGCCACCGCCAUCGUGGCCCCAACCUCGACUGUCGCCGUGGCCCCAGUCGCGUCUGCCUUGGAGAAGAAGACAGAGAGCAAGGGGCCCUACAUCUGCGCUCUGUGCUCCAAGGAGUUCAAGAACGGCUACAACCUCCGGAGGCACGAAGCCAUCCACACGGGAGCCAAGGCUGGCCGGGUCCCCUGGGGUGCUAUGAAGAUGCCCACCAUGGUGCCCCUGAGCCUCCUGAGCGUGCCCCAGCUGAGCGUGCCCCAGCUGAGCGGAGCCGGCGGGGGAGGGGGAGAAGCGGGUGCCGGCGGCGGCGCGGCUGCAGUGACCGCGGGUGGCGUGGUGACCACGACCGCCUCGGGGAAGCGCAUCCGGAAGAACCACGCCUGCGAGAUGUGCGGCAAGGCCUUCCGCGACGGCCACCACCUGAACCGACACAGGCUGUCGCACUCGGACGAGAAGCGCUACCAGUGCCUGGUGUGCCAGCAGCGCAGGGACCGCCUGAGCUACCACGUGCGCUCACAUGAGGGCGUGGUACACAAGCCCUACGACUGCUCCCACGGUGGCAAGAGCUUCUCCCGGCCGGAUCACCUCAACAGUCACAACAGAACGGCCCUUCAAAUGUGAGAAACGUGAGGCAGGUUUCGCCACGAAGGAUCAGCUGCGGGCGCACACGGUACGACCCGAGGAGAAGGUGCCAUGUCACGUGUGUGGCAAGAUGCUGAGCUCGGCUUAUAUUUCGGACCACAUGAAGGUGCACAGCCAGGGCCCUCACCAUGUCUGUGAGCUCUGCAACAAAGGUACUGGUGAGGUUUGUCCAAUGGCGGCCGCAGCUGUGGGCUCCCUCUCGGGGGCAGAGGGGGUGCCUGUGAGCUCUCAGCCACUUCCCUCCCAGCCCUGGUGAGCUCCAAUUUGGUUGGGGGGGAGAGGGGAGAAUGGAGUAGAGUCCUUUGGUACAGGCUCCUCUCCCCCCUCUUUUCCCACCAACUCCUCACUACUUCCCCACCAACCAAGGAGCCUCCGGAAGGAAAGGAGGAAGCAAUGUUUUAGGGGAAUUCGCUAGGUUUUAACGAUUUGUUUCUCCUGCUCCUCUCUUCUGUCAGACCUGACCCCAGACAAACCUGUCCCCUCAGUUGUGCUGAAGUCCCCUGGACAGUGGGCAGGGGUGGCAGAGGACAGGAGCAACCACUGCCCAUACCCCCUCUCCUCUCUGUAAGCCCGUGCCCUGUCCUCCCAGGGACUUGGGAGCCUCUUCCCUCAAUGGCUCUCUUACUUUCCUUCCAAUCCUCUCCCCGCGCUGUCUGCUGCCCCUCCCUGGGGAGUUGGUGCUUUCUUUUCCUUUUUCUUUUUUCCAGGAGGAGGGAGGAGAGGAAAGAGGGAGAUCAGAGCUUCUGUCCCAGAGAGGGAAAGCGGUGAGAUUUGCGGAGGGGCAGAAGCAGGGCCCGCAAAGGUUGUACCUUCAUAAGGUGGUAGGGAGUUUGGGUCAGGCCCUGAACAUCGUCCUACUUGAGAAUCUGUCAGGGGAAAAAGUUCAGGGGAGCAGAAGGAGGAGCCAGGAGGGCAAGAGGCAGAGGAUAGAUGGGAGUUUUAGGGGCCAGGGUGAGCGAGGGGUCCAGGGCCUAGAGGUGCUUCCUGGGGGUGGGGGAAUGCAGCCAGUGUCCCCCUCCCUUCUUCCACCCCAGCUCCAGCCCUGGUCUUGUCUUUUCAUCCCUCUUCCCCACGACAGAAGAAACUGUGGCCCUGGCCAUGUCAUCGUGUUCUUGUGUCCCCUGCAUGUACCCCACCCUCCAUCCCCUCGUUUUGCAUGGACCCCAUUACAAUAAAUUUUAAAUUAAAAAAA